CUGGCGGCAGGCUUACACAUGCAAGUCGAGCGGGGUGAUGGUGCUUGCACUAUCACUUAGCGGCGGACGGGUGAGUAAUGCUUAGGAAUCUGCCUAUUAGUGGGGGACAACAUCUCGAAAGGGAUGCUAAUACCGCAUACGUCCUACGGGAGAAAGCAGGGGAUCACUUGUGACCUUGCGCUAAUAGAUGAGCCUAAGUCGGAUUAGCUAGUUGGUGGGGUAAAGGCCUACCAAGGCGACGAUCUGUAGCGGGUCUGAGAGGAUGAUCCGCCACACUGGGACUGAGACACGGCCCAGACUCCUACGGGAGGCAGCAGUGGGGAAUAUUGGACAAUGGGGGGAACCCUGAUCCAGCCAUGCCGCGUGUGUGAAGAAGGCCUUAUGGUUGUAAAGCACUUUAAGCGAGGAGGAGGCUCUUUUGGUUAAUACCCAGGAUGAGUGGACGUUACUCGCAGAAUAAGCACCGGCUAACUCUGUGCCAGCAGCCGCGGUAAUACAGAGGGUGCAAGCGUUAAUCGGAUUUACUGGGCGUAAAGCGCGCGUAGGCGGCCAAUUAAGUCAAAUGUGAAAUCCCCGAGCUUAACUUGGGAAUUGCAUUCGAUACUGGUUGGCUAGAGUGUGGGAGAGGAUGGUAGAAUUCCAGGUGUAGCGGUGAAAUGCGUAGAGAUCUGGAGGAAUACCGAUGGCGAAGGCAGCCAUCUGGCCUAACACUGACGCUGAGGUGCGAAAGCAUGGGGAGCAAACAGGAUUAGAUACCCUGGUAGUCCAUGCCGUAAACGAUGUCUACUAGCCGUUGGGGCCUUUGAGGCUUUAGUGGCGCAGCUAACGCGAUAAGUAGACCGCCUGGGGAGUACGGUCGCAAGACUAAAACUCAAAUGAAUUGACGGGGGCCCGCACAAGCGGUGGAGCAUGUGGUUUAAUUCGAUGCAACGCGAAGACCCUUACCUGGUCUUGACAU
rnacentral:rRNA from 1 species